AGGAUGAACGCUGGCGGUCUGCUUAACACAUGCAAGUCGAACGGAGUAGCAAUACUUAGUGGCGGACGGGUGAGUAACGCGUGAGAAUCUACCUUCAGGACGGAGACAACAGUUGGAAACGACUGCUAACCCCCGAUGUACCGAAAGGGCAAAUAUUUAUAGCCUGAAGAAGAGCUCGCGUCCGAUUAGCUAGUUGGAGAGGUAAAAGCUCACCAAGGCGACGAUCGGUAGCUGGUCUGAGAGGACGAUCAGCCACACUGGGACUGAGACACGGCCCAGACUCCUACGGGAGGCGAGCAGUGGGGAAUUUUCCGCAAUGGGCGAAAGCCUGACGGAGCAAGACCGCGUGGGGGAAGAAGGCUCUUGGGUUGUAAACCCCUUUUCUCUGGGAAGAACGUUGUGAAGCAGCCUGACGGUACCAGAGGAAUCAGCAUCGGCUAACUCCGUGCCAGCAGCCGC
rnacentral:rRNA from 1 species